rnacentral:rRNA from 1 species
UACGAAGGGUGCAAACGUUGCUCGGAAUUAUUGGGCGUAAAGCGCACGUAGGCGGCUUGGCAAGUCGGAUGUGAAAUCCCUCGGCUCAACCAAGGAAGUGCAUCCGAAACUGCCGAGCUUGAGUACUUAAGAGGAUCGCGGAAUUCCCGGUGUAGAGGUGAAAUUCGUAGAUAUCGGGAGGAACACCAGUGGCGAAGGCGGCGACCUGGGAAGAUACUGACGCUGAGGUGCGAAAGCGUGGGGAGCAAACAGG